UCCGUAGGUGAACCUGCGGAAGGAUCAUUACCGAAGUCAAUAGAGUUUGAGACUGCGUCUUAUGGCGUGUGCUCGCUCUUACUCUUCCUAUCCACACCUUUGUGCACCAUGGGACGAAACAAGUCCCCUUUAUUAAUACCUAGUUAUAUGUAUGUCAUUAUAUACUCUAAGGAGUUAAUACAACUUUCAACAACGGAUCUCUUGGCUUUCGCAUCGAUGAAGAACGCAGCGAAUGUGCGAGACGUAAUGUGAAUUGCAGAAUUCAGUGAAUCAUCGAAUCUUUGAACGCAUCUUGCGCUCCUUGGCAUUCCGAGGAGCAUGCCUGUUUGAGUGUCGUGAAUACUCUCAAUUUCACUCUUUAUGUUUGAAAUUGGACUUGAAUGCUGUCGUGGACUACGACUCGUUCUAAAUGCAUUAGCGAUCUGCCUUUGAUCACACAAUGUGAUAAUCAAAAAGCAUUGUUUGUAUUAAGUGGAGAUGGCUUCUAACCGUCGAAAGACAAUGUGAAUGUCAUUUGACCUCAAAUCAGGUAGGACUACCCGCUGAACUUAAGCAUAUCAAUAAGGGAGGA
rnacentral:rRNA from 1 species